rnacentral:lncRNA from 1 species
CCUGUUUCCCUAGGUCCCCAAUGCCGACGGUCGAUUACAGUGCCAUCUAGGUGUUGUUGCUGCAUACUUGGGUGGGAGAUUGAACAUAUGUGCCAACUUUCUUCUGUCGGCAGAGGUAUGUGCAGCUCCGAAGAAAUAUGAGUUGUAGUAUAUGACUGUUCCGAUAAAAAUGUUUCCUCCCAGCAAUGAAUGUGCUGAUAUUUUUGGAUUACUAUCUUCUGAACUUGUAGUUUGUGACACACAUUGACCGUUCAAAGAAGAAGUAGAAGUUUGGUUUUGGGAUCACUGUAGGAGAGUAGAUAUGCUCAUAGCAAUUACCAUGAGAGGACUACAGAUGUCUUCUCAGUUUGUUAGAAGUGCAGGUUUACCACAUGGUCUAGGUUUAGUGUUCUGGACUACAGAUGACUCCUCAAGCGUUCAGCCUCUUUGGGUGUACUUGUGGUUGUCUCAUUUUCAGCUACUUUAGAUAGCAUGGGCUUUUGGGCGUCCAUGAUUUACAGGCUGAAACAUUGUUGUGGUAAAAAUAUGCAUUGGCAGUCGAGCUUGCCGGUCGGGCGUCACGCCUCCGAGCUCCUACACGGAGGAUGACCUAGACCCCAGAUUUGGUGUUUUGUGUCUGCAGCUGCAGUUUCCGGUGAGGUUCCGGUCGCCAUGGCUGUGGUGGGUAGGUGGGGCAUAGGGAUGGAUUUCUUACUUCGGUCCCAAUGUGUGUUGCGUUGGGACUACACGACGAGAUGCUAGGUGGUGGUGCACCCAUUCCCCUAUGUAUUUACUUGAAAGAUCUGGGUAGCUGCACGGAGAGCAUUAUGUAGUUGGCUAGUUAGAUUAUGUAGUUGCACAAAAAUGGCAGGGAAGUUGACUACAUUGCAUAAAAGCUUGUUCAUGCACUCUGGGGUGUUUUUGCGCACACACACAUAUAUGCUCAGUUGGCCUGCAAAUGUAAUUUAGUUGCACACACAUUUGUUGUUUAGUUGGUAGGAUUAGUUGCACACACAUAUGCUCAGUUGGCCUGCAAUGUAAUCUAGUUGCACACACAUUGAUAUUUAGUUGGCAGGACUAGUUGCACACACAUAUGCUCAAUUGGUCUGCAAUGUAGUCUAGUUGCACACACAAUAAUGUUUAGUCGCACACACACAAUAUGCUCGGCGGGCUGCUCAGUUGGCCUGCAAUAGUGUAGGAGUUUGCAGAUUUGUUUCCUUUUUUAGUCAUUUUUGUGCAACCGGGCAGCCCCCUUUGUGCAACUUGUUAGAUAGAACUUACCAACCUUAUGUUAAAAAUAACCAACUUAAUUUUUCUUCUGAUGGAGUAUUGUGUUUUUGGUGGCACUUAUUUUUUGUUCAACUAGGCAGCAAAUCAUGUGCAACUUUUCUUUUAAUUCAAACUAGCCAACUUCAUAUAUAAAAGUAGCCAACCCACCACAUUUUCUCUCCCCUGUGCAACUUCUGUUAAUUUGAUUAAUACAUUGUUCGCAUUUUUUAUUGCAGAGACCAAAAUGGCUGGAGAAGGAGAUGUGCCUGACAAUGAAACAGAGGUUCCCAUUUUUUUCUUUUUGCCCUAUUACCACUUUAAUUUUUUGGGUUUUAUCCUCUGACCAUUUUUAUUAUGCCAUUUUCUUUUACCCUCUUAACAUCCCAAUGUUUUUGUUCAUUGUAGGGUUCUGCCAAUCCGAUCUCACGAUGGCACUCAAAAAGGGCUGCUAAGCGGCAGCCGCAUGGCGAUGAUAAGGACGGGGAUGGAGAGGAUGACGAUGUGAGUGGAGAACAGCAGUCCUUUGGAAUUUAUUUUCCUUCAUUUUUAUUUUGUUCUUUAGGUUUUUUAUAUGGCACACAUACAUGUUUAAUUUUUUCUCAACCCCUUAUGCUUGUUAAUUUUUUCCUUACACAACUUUAGGGUGGCGAAAGAUUCCUCUUAGUAAAACUGCAGAGAAGAAAGGUGCGCAUGAAGGCAGUAUCCAAAGGGGUAGAUGCCACAUCUUCUGCAGCAGCCGCUGAGGUAACAUAAAAUUCCAUCAGGAAUAUUUUUUACUCCACAUACAGGCAGCCAAGUGUAUUAUUUUUCAUACAUAGUUGCAGAAGGACUAAUUAAGCAUUGACAUGCUCAACUUUCUUAGUUGCUCAACGUUGUCAUCUUCAAGUUUUUUAGAAUUGUCCCAAGAGUAUGUAACGACUUGGCAUCCUCAGGCUUUCUAGUUGCACAAUAGUAUCUAAUUAGUUGGCAACCUCUGUAAUUCUAGUUGGACAACAUUAUACAACUAGUUGACAUCCUUGGCUUCUCUAGUUGCACAAGACUCGGAUUAGUCUCAUCUUAAAAAAAUUGAGGAUUGCCCAACAGUAUCUAAUGACUUGGCACCCUCAGGCUUUCUAGUUGCAUAAGAGUAUCUAUUUAGUUGGCACCCUCUGCAAUUCUAGUUGGACAACAUUAUCCAAGUAGUUGACAUCCUCAGCCUCUCUAGUUGCACAAGAAUAUCUCAUUAGUUGGCAUCAUCAGCAUAUCUAGUCGCACAAGAAUAUCUCAUUAGUUGUCAUCACCAGCAUUUCUAGUUGCAGAACAAACAGGAUAUCAAGUUGCCAUCCUCAACUUUUUAAUCUAGUUUUCCAGAGAACAAAUAUUUGUAUGUAAUGAUAACUAAUCACCUCUGCCUUUUUUGCGAACCCCAAGAUAUUUUCAACGGAAUGAGAGAAAUGAAGCAGAUAAUGUUGACAUCCUCAGCCAUUCUAGUUGCACAACAGUAUAUAAUUUAGUCUCAUCUCCAAAAAAUUUGAGGGUUGCCCAAGAGUAUCUUUGGCACCCUCAGACUUUAUACUUGCACAGUAGUAUCCAAUUAAUUGGCAUCCUCGACAAUUCUAGUUGCACAAUACUUUUCUAACUAGUUGACAUACUCAAGACUUUUUCUAGUUGCACAAGAGUAUGUAUUUAGUUGGCAUCCUUAGCAUUUCUAGUUGCACAGUAAACAAAAUACUGUGUUGGCAUCCUCAACUUUUUUAAUCCAGAUUUCUAAAGAACAACAAAAAAAUUAUGCAGUGUUAACUAAUCACCUUUUUUCACCUUCAUGAUAUUGUGCAGGGGGGUGAGGGUAAUGAAGAAGAUAAUGCAGAACGACAGUCACAAGCUGGUAGAAUAAGGGCAUCUCCUGGGAGGUUGGUGAAGUUGAACAAUAAGUUGAGCCCAUUACAAAAGUCCCCCCCUCUGCCACAAGCUGUUUGGAGGCCUGGAUUCAUGUUUUAGUAGCACACAUUUACAACAAAAGUUGGCUUUAGAUUCAUGUUUAGUUGCACAAAUAUGUGUUUUUUUUUGCACAGACUGCAGACAUCCAUGUCUGUGUGUGUUGAUUGCACACAUUUACAGCAAAAGCUGGCUUUUGGAUCCAUGGUUAGUUUGCACAUCUCUUUUCUAGUCUUGGCUGUUUGGUUGCACACAUAGAAGGAAAAUUUGGUUUUGGAUCCAUGUUUUAGUUGGCACAAAUAUAGCCUUCUAUUUGCACACAUGGCAUAAAAAGGUUUCUUUUGGAACCCAUGUUUUUUUAGUUGCGCAAAUAUGUGCUUCUUUCUGCACAAACAGUACAUCCAGUCCAUAUUUUUUAGUGUUUGGUUGUUUGGUUGCACACAUUGCAUAAAAAGUUGGCAUUGUUGGAACUGUGAUUAGUUGCACAAACAGGAACAUCCAGUCCAUGUUUCUAGUUUGGGCUAUCUGCAAAACUAUUCCCUUGUGUCUAUU